UAUAUGAAGAGUUUGAUCCUGGCUCAGAACGAACGCUGGUGGCGUGUCUGAUGCAUGCAAGUCGAGCGAGUCGGUGGCAACACUAGGCGAGCGGCGG
rnacentral:rRNA from 1 species